AUUGAACGCUGGCGGCAGGCCUAACACAUGCAAGUCGAGCGGAUGAAGGGAGCUUGCUCCUGGAUUCAGCGGCGGACGGGUGAGUAAUGCCUAGGAAUCUGCCUGGUAGUGGGGGAUAACGUCCGGAAACGGGCGCUAAUACCGCAUACGUCCUGAGGGAGAAAGUGGGGGAUCUUCGGACUCACGCUAUCAGAUGAGCCUAGGUCGGAUUAGCUAGUUGGUGGGGUAAAGGCCUACCAAGGCGACGAUCCGUAACUGGUCUGAGAGGAUGAUCAGUCACACUGGAACUGAGACACGGUCCAGACUCCUACGGGAGGCAGCAGUGGGGAAUAUUGGACAAUGGGCGAAAGCCUGAUCCAGCCAUGCCGCGUGUGUGAAGAAGGUCUUCGGAUUGUAAAGCACUUUAAGUUGGGAGGAAGGGCAGUAAGUUAAUACCUUGCUGUUUUGACGUUACCAACAGAAUAAGCACCGGCUAACUUCGUG
rnacentral:rRNA from 1 species